AGGACGAACGCUGGCGGCGUGCUUAACACAUGCAAGUCGAACGGAAAGGCCCGCUUGCGGGUACUCGAGUGGCGAACGGGUGAGUAACACGUGGGCAACCUGCCCUCAGCUCUGGGAUAACUCCGGGAAACCGGUGCUAAUACUGGAUAUCGACUUCUGCCUCGCAUGGGGUGUUGUUGAAAGUUUUUCGGCUGGGGAUGGGCCCGCGGCCUAUCAGCUUGUUGGUGGGGUGAUGGCCUACCAAGGCGACGACGGGUA
rnacentral:rRNA from 2 species